GACGAACGCUGGCGGCGUGCUUAACACAUGCAAGUCGAACGGAAAGGCCCUGCUUGCAGGGUACUCGAGUGGCGAACGGGUGAGUAACACGUGGGUGAUCUGCCCUGCACUUCGGGAUAAGCCUGGGAAACUGGGCCUAAUACCGGAUAGGAGCCAGUUUUAGUGUGAUGGUUGGAAAGUUUUUUCGGUGUAGGAUGAGCUCGCGUCCUAUCAGCUUGUUGGUGGGGUAAUGGCCUACCAAGGCGGCGACGGGUAGCCGGCCUGAGAGGGUGGACAGCCACCUUGGGUCUUAGGUGAGGCACAGGCUGCUACGGGUGGCAGAUGUGGGGAAGCUUGAACCAUGGGCGCCAGCCUGGUGCAGCGACGCCGCGUGGUGGAUGACGGUCUUCGGUUUGUAAACUCCUUUCGCUAGGGACGAAGCUUUUUGUGACGUUACCUAGAUAAUAAGCACCGGCUAACUACGUG
rnacentral:rRNA from 1 species